rnacentral:tRNA from 1 species
CUAGGUGUAGCGAAGCUGGUUAUCGCGCUACUCUGGGGGGGUAGAGACCGUGAGUUCGAAUCUCACCACUUAGACCA